UUGGCCACACAAAAAGUUCACG
rnacentral:siRNA from 1 species